AGUGAACGCUGGCGGUAGGCCUAACACAUGCAAGUCGAACGGCAGCACAGUAAGAGCUUGCUCUUACGGGUGGCGAGUGGCGGACGGGUGAGGAAUACAUCGGAAUCUACUUUUUCGUGGGGGGUAACGUAGGGAAACUUACGCUAAUACCGCAUACGACCUACGGGUGAAAGCAGGGGAUCUUCGGACCUUGCGCGAUUGAAUGAGCCGAUGUCGGAUUAGCUAGUUGGUGGGGUAAAGGCCCACCAAGGCGACGAUCCGUAGCUGGUCUGAGAGGAUGAUCAGCCACACUGGAACUGAGACACGGUCCAGACUCCUACGGGAGGCAGCAGUGGGGAAUAUUGGACAAAGGGUGCAAGCCUGAUCCAGCCAUACCGCGUGGGUGAAGAAGGCCUUCGGGUUGUAAAGCCCUUUUGUUGGGAAAGAAAAGCAGCAGGUUAAUACCCCGCUGUUCUGACGGUACCCAAAGAAUAAGCACCGGCUAACUUCGUG
rnacentral:rRNA from 1 species